rnacentral:rRNA from 1 species
AGCAGCCGCGGUAAUUCCAGCUCCAAUAGCGUAUAUUAAAGUUGUUGCAGUUAAAAGCUCGUAGUUGAAUUUCGGGGUUUAUCCGUUGGUCGGGCUUUUUGGUCUGUACUGGCGUGAUGGAUUCCUACCUUCUGAAUAACCGGCAUGCCAUUAAUUUGGUGCGCCGGGGAAGCAGGACUGUUACCUUGAAAAAAUUAGAGUGCUUAAAGCAGGCUUAUGCCUGAAUACAUUAGCAUGGAAUAAUGAAAUAGGACGCAUGGUUCUAUUUUGUUGGUUUCUAGGAUCACCGUAAUGAUUAAUAGGGAUAGUUGGGGGCAUUAGUAUUCAAUUGUCAGAGGUGAAAUUCUUGGAUUUAUUGAAGACUAACUUCUGCGAAAGCAUUUGCCAAGGAUGUUUUCAUUAAUCAAGAACGAAAGUUAGGGGAUCGAAGACGAUCAGAUACCGUCGUAGUCUUAACCAUAAACUAUGCCGACUAGGGAUCGGAUGAUGUUAAUUUUUUAAUGACUCAUUCGGCGCCUUA